UACGUAGGGUGCAAGCGUUGUCCGGAAUUAUUGGGCGUAAAGAGCUCGUAGGCGGUUUGUCGCGUCGAAUGUGAAAACCCGGGGCUCAACCCCGGGCCUGCAUUCGAUACGGGCAGACUAGAGUUCGGUAGGGGAGUCUGGAAUUCCUGGUGUAGCGGUGAAAUGCGCAGAUAUCAGGAGGAACACCGGUGGCGAAGGCGAGUCCCUGGACAAUACCUGACACUGAGGCACGAAAGCUAGGGGAGCAAACAGG
rnacentral:rRNA from 1 species